CAGCACCUCAAGUGGUCAGGAUGAUUAUUGGGCCUAAAGCAUCCGUAGCCUGCUUUGUUAGUUUUCGGUUAAAUCCAUAUGCUCAACGUAUGGGCUGCCGGGAAUACUGCAAAGCUAGGGAGUGGGAGAGGUAGACGGUACUCGGUAGGAAGGGGUAAAAUCCUUUGAUCUAUUGAUGACCACCUGUGGCGAAGGCGGUCUACCAGAACACGUCCGACGGUGAGGGAUGAAAGCUGGGGGAGCAAACCGGAUUAGAGACCCGAGUAGUCC
rnacentral:rRNA from 1 species